UCGAGUAGCUCAGUUGGUAGAGCAUGAGAUGGUUAAUCUCAGGGUCAUAGGUUUGAGCCCUAUAUUGGGCAAAA